CUACGGGACGCUCCAGUGGGGAAUAUUGGACAAUGGGGGAAACCCUGAUCCAGCCAUGCCGCGUGUGUGAAGAAGGCCUUUUGGUUGUAAAGCACUUUAAGCAGUGAAGAAGACCUAACGGUUAAUACCCGUUAGCGAUGACAUUAGCUGCAGAAUAAGCACCGGCGAACUCUGUGCCAGCAGCCGCGGUAAUACAGAGGGUGCAAGCGUUAAUCGGAAUUACUGGGCGUAAAGCGAGCGUAGGUGGCUUGAUAAGUCAGAUGUGAAAUCCCCGGGCUUAACCUGGGAACUGCAUCUGAAACUGUUAGGCUAGAGUAGGUGAGAGGGAAGUAGAAUUUCAGGUGUAGCGGUGAAAUGCGUAGAGAUCUGAAGGAAUACCGAUGGCGAAGGCAGCUUCCUGGCAUCAUACUGACACUGAGGCUCGAAAGCGUGGGUAGCAAACAGGAUUAGAUACCCGCGUAGUC
rnacentral:rRNA from 1 species